rnacentral:rRNA from 1 species
AGAACGAACGCUGGCGGCAUGCCUAAUACAUGCAAGUCGAACGAACUCUUCGGAGUUAGUGGCGCACGGGUGCGUAACGCGUGGGAAUCUGCCCCUUGGUUCGGAAUAACAGUUGGAAACGACUGCUAAUACCGGAUGAUGACGAAAGCCCAAAGAUUUAUCGCCAAGGGAUGAGCCCGCGUAGGAUUAGCUAGUUGGUGAGGUAAAGGCUCACCAAGGCAACGAUCCUUAGCUGGUCUGAGAGGAUGAUCAGCCACACUGGGACUGAGACACGGCCCACGACCCCGUACGGGAGGCAGCAGGUAGGGAAUAGUUGGAACAAGUGGGACGAAAGCCUGACUCCAGCAAGUGCCGCGUGAGUGAGUGAAGGCCGUUAAGGUUAGUAAGCCGUUACUUUUAACCGAGUAUA